UCGUGACCAUUCUCUCUCUUCUCAUUCCAAAACCCUUAUCCCAAAAUCCAUCCCCGUCACCGGCUUCCCCCAAAUCCAUCCCCGUCAACGCCGACCGACUUCCCCAAACUCCGGCUCCCCGUCACCGCCGACCGACUUCCUCCAUCAAGCCAUCAAGCCACUGACUCCUCCCCCAACUCCGACUCCCUGUCACUGCCGACCGACUUCCUCCAUCAAGCCAUCAAACCACCGACAUGGAGUGUCACCGACAUGGAGUGAUUUUCGUAAUCCUCAGCGAAAACAUGGAGUCCCUGCGACUUACUUUUGUGUGUGUUGGGUUUUGGGUAGUGUCACUAGCAUUUUAUUUCUUCCGAUUUGUUUCCUUUCACCUGUUAUCGCGACAAAUCCUAAUAUUUUUGGUUGUUUGGUUCUAGUGUUUUAAUGAACAUUCCAAGAAAUUGCUUUCAGUUAUUGGGAUAUACUGAUGGGACUUAUCUCCUAACUUUAUAUUAGUAUAAAUGAAAAUGGUUAGUUGUUUUUCGAGCAUCUGCGAGCAUCUGCGAGCAUCUGCGAGAAGGUCGCGAGCAUCUGCGAGAAGUUCAGGGAUUCACCGGACAGACUGUUUGGGAGUCUCUCGAAUCGGAAUGCAAAGACGAAUGCUCGGAAGAAGUCGAUGGACAUGUUGAAGAGGCUCAAGGAUUUCAAUUGAGGUUCUUUGGGUCGUUCCUGUCAAUGUUAGCAGAUUAAAUCGAAUCAAUGAGUUAGCAUGGCCUCAGGGGGGUGGAUACUGCUACUGGGUGAUGAUGUUUAUAAUACCUGCAAGGUCAAGAUGAGCAACUCAGGGGAGUUAUAAUCUUUGAUGGAUGCUGAUCAAUAUAUGAAAUUUUGCGAAGCAGAGGAUGCAAAACACGAGGAAUACUUAGUAGUACUUGGUUGAGAACAUUGUCUUGAAAAUUGAGGGGGUAAAAUAAAAGGGUAGAAAAUUUGUUAGUUUACUUCAUCCCGGUGUUCAUUUGAUGCAUGUUUAGAAAUCGAAAAUAAUCUGUCUUUCCAUGAGUUUCUAGUUUAUGUUUGAUGCUUCACGGAAUUCUUGUAACUUUGCAAUUUAUCUUAAUGUUAUAUCUGUGAGAUUUGUUAAUAAGGAUGUUUUGCUUUU